GGACGCGCAUUCAAGCGUCCGCAUCAUCGGGUCAAACCGGUGGUGCGUGGCGUUGCGGGCUCGGUCCGCUGGAGGACCAGCGUGUCAACCGGCCCGCCCGUCCCCUCCUUCUGGAUUCCCGUUCCUGCUAUUGAGUUAGUGGGGACGUCACAGGGGAUCACUCCAUUGGGUGGCAACACCUGGUGGGUGGUCUCUGGGGCCCAGAUCGUUUACCGUGAAAAAAUUAGAGUGUUCAAAGCAGGCAGAUUUUACCAUUCUGCCACCGAAUACAUUAGCAUGGGAUAAUGGAAUAGGACCCUGUCCUCCUAUUUUCCGCGUUGGUUUUUGAGGACCAGGGUA
rnacentral:rRNA from 1 species